CCGAGAAUGGGCGGAGCCUCCGGGAGUGCGCCCUCCCCGCACAUGCGCCCUGACAGCCCAACAAUGGCGGCGCCCGCGGAGUCGCUGAGGAGGCGGAAGACUGGGUACUCGGACCCGGAGCCUGAGUCGCCGCCCGCGCCGGGGCGUGACCCCGCAGGCUCUCCGGCCCAUCUCCACACGGGCACCUUCUGGCUGACCCGGAUCGUGCUCCUGAAGGCCCUAGCCUUCGUGUACUUCGUGGCAUUCCUGGUGGCUUUCCAUCAGAACAAGCAGCUCAUCGGUGACAGGGGGCUGCUUCCCUGCAGAGUGUUCCUGAAGAACUUCCAGCAGUACUUCCAGGACAGGACGAGCUGGGAAGUCUUCAGCUACAUGCCCACCAUCCUCUGGCUGAUGGACUGGUCAGACAUGAACUCCAACCUGGACUUGCUGGCUCUUCUCGGACUGGGCAUCUCGUCUUUCGUACUGAUCACGGGCUGCGCCAACAUGCUUCUCAUGGCUGCCCUGUGGGGCCUCUACAUGUCCCUGGUCAAUGUGGGCCAUGUCUGGUACUCUUUCGGAUGGGAGUCCCAGCUUCUGGAGACGGGGUUCCUGGGGAUCUUCCUGUGCCCUCUGUGGACGCUGUCGAGGCUGCCCCAGCACACCCCCACAUCCCGGAUUGUCCUGUGGGGCUUCCGGUGGCUGAUCUUCAGGAUCAUGCUGGGAGCAGGCCUGAUCAAGAUCCGGGGGGACCGGUGCUGGCGAGACCUCACCUGCAUGGAUUUCCACUACGAGACCCAGCCGGUGCCCAAUCCUGUGGCGUACUACCUGCACCACUCACCCUGGUGGUUCCACCGCUUCGAGACGCUCAGCAACCACUUCAUCGAGCUCCUGGUGCCCUUCUUCCUCUUCCUCGGCCGGCGGGCGUGCAUCAUCCACGGGGUGCUGCAGAUCCUGUUCCAGGCCGUCCUCAUCAUCAGCGGGAACCUCAGCUUCCUGAACUGGCUGACUAUGGUGCCCAGCCUAGCCUGCUUUGAUGACGCCACCCUGGGAUUCUUGUUCCCCUCUGGGCCGGGCAGCCUGAAGGACCGAGUUCUGCAGAUGCAGAGGGACAUCCGAGGGGCCCGGCCCAAGCCCAGAUUCGGCUCCGUGGUGCGGCGUGCAGCCAACGUCUCGCUGGGCGUCCUGCUGGCCUGGCUCAGCAUGCCCGUGGUCCUCAACUUGCUGAGCUCCAGGCAGGUCAUGAACACCCACUUCAACUCUCUUCACAUCGUCAACACUUACGGGGCCUUCGGAAGCAUCACCAAGGAGCGGGCGGAGGUGAUCCUGCAGGGCACAGCCAGCUCCAACGCCAGCGCCCCCGACGCCGUGUGGGAGGACUACGAGUUCAAGUGCAAGCCAGGUGACCCCAGCAGACGGCCCUGCCUCAUCUCCCCGUACCACUACCGCCUGGACUGGCUGAUGUGGUUCGCGGCCUUCCAGCUACGCGGGAGGAGGAAGGAUCGAUUGAGCCCAACCGUUGCAGCCUCAAAUGAUGGCAGCGUUGCAUUCCAGUCUGGGGGACAGAGCCAGACCCUGUCUCAGCGAACAGGAAAGAAGGAAUCCCCAGGGCUGGGGUUAGCAGAGGCACCCAUGGACAGAGCUGCUGUUUCUGUCCUCCCGGUCCUGUCUCAGCCACCAGAAAACUGAGCCUCAGGGAGGCAAGGCCCAGACAGAGGGUGCUGGGGUGGACAGGCUCCAAGGCACCUGGCCAGGGGAGCAAAGCCAGCGGCCGACAUGGGAAUGAGUGGUCAGGGCUACAAGGAGCACGCGAAGCAGGCAGCCCCUUAAGGGGACCCCAGCCAAAGAACUGGAGUGCGGCUGCCCAGGGAACACACGUCCAGGAAAGCCUCAGGAGGGAGUGGAGGGCACAGCCGAGCGUCUGGAGGGGCUGUGCCUGGACAGCGAGUGGCACAGCCGUCUCCAGCCCGACCUCUCCUCCCAGACGUACGAGCACAACGACUGGAUCAUCCACCUAGCUGGCAAGCUCCUGGCCAGCGAUGCCGAGGCCUUGUCCCUGCUGGCACACAACCCCUUCGCGGGCAGGCCCCCGCCCAGCAGCCUUCAGAGCCCCCCAGCCCCCACCCCAGAUCGCAGCCUCCUCGGUGCCUGGGGACCCUGGAGCUGGCCCAGAGGAAGGUUUGCCAUCAUCAGGUCGUGACGGAAGCCUCUUCUGGCCAAGCGCACAGUCGGAUCAUCUGUUUCUCAGCCAGGAGGUGCUGGAAAAAGUAAUCAUGUCAGAGCAGCUUCAGGUCCAUCCAUGAGUCCCAAAGUCUACCUGAAAGGAUGGAUACUGUGAAAACCAAGUGUGAAAAGCAGUAACUAUUUUAUAUGAACCAGUAAUGAGUGAACAUUUAGGGAAAACAUUAUUGAACACUGCCCCACGGCACAUCUCUCCCGUCUCCAUGAUACACGUGUUUGGCAGCUGGAGCAGGUGGUACCAUGACAGGCUGUGACUAACCGUGGGCCUGCAUUUAGUUCAUCAUCGACUUUAAAACUGGAAGAUGGAGCAGACACUUAUCCCUGUUCCUCCCACUAAGUGCAACCAAGAUCCCUGGACGUUAUACAUAAAACAGGAAGACUGAAGGUGAGAGAAGAGAGCCACCAGCAGGGCCCUCGGGACGGAGCCACAGCCCCAAAAUGGCGGUGAUCGCCUAGGAUUGCUUUCGGCCUCAUUUUCUAGACUUGGAGGUGAGGAAACUGGAAACCCAGUAAUGCCAGCAGAUGCAGACAAGAAACACCUCAACAAAAAUCUGCUCUCUCUGACUAAAGGGCCAGAAAAGAGCAGCCUAGCAAGACAGGAAAUUUACAGAAAAUAAUCACCACUCCAGGCAACACCACAGAAAAAACCAUGGCCCCACCCACACCAGCAAGGUAUGGAGUAGGGAGCCUGGACUCUCCUCCAAACGGCUCACUGGGGUGCUACCAGAGGAGGCCAAAUAGGAAGCUGAGAUUUUCAUCCAAGUGGGCAGGAAGGACCCCCCGCUUCUGUGGUAUCAGUGGAGACCACAGGAGGAGCCUGGACUCCCCCAACCCCUGGCAGUACUGAAGGGCUCCUCCCCUCCAGAGUGGUAUUACGUAAUAGCUACCAGAAAGUCAGGACCUUCACCACCAGCCAGCCAGCAGUGACUAGGCCGCCACCCCCGCCAUAGUCAUGGAGGCCUAGUGCAGAGCCACGACUCCCACCCUACCCAGAAACAACAAGGAAUACCCCCAAUGCGUCCACUGGAGUUUUACCCCAACCCGGCAGGAGCAAGGCAAUACCCCUGUCUCUACCAGCAUGAGGUCAGAAGAAGUCAUCUAAAGCAGAAGGUUUAAAUAAGAUCCAAAAUCUCCUAAUACACAAAAUGUUCAGUUUUCAGUGGAAAAAUUACUUAUCACAGCAGGAAACAGGAAGACAUUGAACUGGUGAAAAAGGGCAGUCGACAGAUGAUAGCACCAAGAUGAGAGAGGUAUUAGAGUGACUUCACAGAGAUGUGAAUGCAGCCGUCGAAAACGCAUGCAGUAAGCAAUUAUGAACACAACUGAUAAAAAAUACAGCCUCAGCAAAGAAAUAGGUUUUUUAAAGAACCAAAUGAAAAGUUUAGAAGUGAAAAAUAUAACUGACACAAAACACUCGACAUCUGAAUGGCAAGGACAGAGGAAAGAAUCAAUAAACUUAAACAUAGAAAGUACCCAGUGGGAACAAGUGAGAGGACAUAGACGGGGAAAAUCAGCAAGAGCCCCAGGGAUCUGUGGGACUGAGACUGUAACAAAAGAUCCAGAAUUCAUGUCAUCAGAGUCCUAGGAGGAAGAGAGAGUGAGCUUUAGGGCUGAAAAUGUACUUGGAGAAAUAAGAACUGAAAACUUCCCAAAUUUGGCAAAACGGACAAACCUACCGAGUCAAUAAACUGAGCAAACCCUAAACAGGAAAAACCCAAAGAAAUUCAAACCUAAACACAUCAAAGUCAAAUUUCUAAAAACCAGAGAUAAUAAAACAUUGCCAGCCUGGCCAACAUGGUGAAGUCUCGUCUCUACAAAAAUAAAAAAUGAGCGAGUAUAGUGCCACACGCCUGUAAUCCCAGCUACUCAGGAAGCUGAGCAGAAUUGCUUGAACCUGGGAGGCACAGAGGUUGCAGUGAGCCGAGAUCACACCAUUGCCCUCCAGCCUGGGCAACAGAGCGAGACUCAAUCUCAAAAGAAAAGACAUGGGUAAAUACAAUAGACGUUCCUUCUCUUGAGUUCCAAUCAUGUUGGAUGGUUAAGCAAAGGCUAUAAAACUGUCUGAAGUAGUUCAAAGUUUAUGUAGAGGAAGUAGUUAAGAUAACUAUAAAUGGAUGAGGGCAAAUGGACAUAGAGGUGAGGUUUCUAUACUUAACUUGAAGUGGUAAAAUGACAUCAGUAGACUGUAAGUUAUGUGCCGAGAACAGCCCGUAAAAAACAACCUAUACUAAGAGAUACACUGGAACACACUACUGACAAAUCAAAAUGGAAUUCUAAAACACUUACAUAACCCAUAGGAAAGCAGGUUGGGAAAAACAAAGAAAUCAGAAACAGAACAGAUGGGAAGAAGUAAAAUGACGGACUUUACAUUCAACGUAAAUGGUCUAAAUAAGCCAAUUAAGAGAGAAAGAUUGGCCAGGUGCAGUGGCUCACUCCUGUCAUGUCAGCACUUUGGGAGCUGAGGCAGGUGUAUCACUUGAAGUCAGGAGUUCAAAAUCAGCCUGGCCAUCAUGGCAAAACCCUCUCUUUACUAAAAAUACAACAAUUAGCCAGGCAUGGUGGUGCAUGCCUGUAAUCCCAGCUACUCGGGAAGCUGAGGCUACAGGGACCCAAGACAUGCCACUGCACUCCAGCCUGGGUGACACAACAAGACCCUAUCUCAAAAAAAAAAAAAAAAGAUAGUAACUUAAAUAUAUGCAUAAUGAGCUUAUGCCCUGAUAAAUGCAGCAUAAGUUGAAAAUGUAAGUCAAAAAUGCGUUUAGUACACCUACCAGACAUCCGUCGUAGCUCAGCCUAGCCUACUACCUUAAACGUGCUCAGAACACGUACAAUUGACUACACUGGGCAAAAUCACCUAGCACAGGCCUGUUUAUAUACAGUGUUGAAUAUGUCAUUUACUGAAUACUGUAUGAAAGUGAAAACAGGAUGGUUGUCUGGGCAUUCACAGUGUGGUUUCUACCAAGUGCGUAUCCCUCUCACCAUUGUAAAGCUGAAAAACUGUCAGUGGAACUCUCAUAAGUUAGGGACCCUCUGUAUAGGCAGGUUGAACGUAAAAGGAUAGAAAAAAAUAGGUGACUAUUAAUGAAAAUCAAGGAUGCAUUGUAUUAACCUCAAAGUAGGCCUCAGUGCAAAAAUUAUUGGAGACAAAGACGGACAAUGAGAAAAGAAUCAACCUGCCAAACAGACGUAGCAAUCCUAAGUGUGUGCACUAAGCACAGAUCUGCAAAACGUGAAGAAAAAGAACUGAAAGGAGAGCUCGACAAAUCAACAAUUACGGCUGGAUGUUUCAACACCCUUCUCUCAACAGUAGAUAGAAUAACUAGAUGGAAAUUCAGCAAGAACAUAAAGGGGCACCAUCAUCGACAGGCAGGGCCUAAUGAUGUUUAUAGAAUAUGCCACCCAUUGCACUGAAUGACCUGUCACAUUUUCUGGGAUGUAGUUAAACUAGUGAUGAGAGAGAAAGCACCAAAUGCAUACAUUAGAAAAGAGACGUGAGAGGUUAGAAAAGAGGAAGGCUCUUAAAUCAAUAAUCUGACGUCAGCUGGGUGCCGUGGAUGCAUCUGUAGUCCCACCUACUCGGGAGGCUGAGGUGGGAGGACUGUGUGAACCCAGGACGUUAACACCAGCCUCUUGCCAUCAGGCAGCACAGGAAGACCCCAUCGCUUAAAAAAUAAUAAUCUAGCUCAAGAUCACAUUAAUAACUAGGAAAAAAUUUAAAGCAAGGAGCAGUAAGAAAAUAGUAAAAAGCAGAAAAUGAAACUGAAAACAAACAAUAGAGAAACUUAUUGAAACAAAGAGAUGGUUCUUUUAAAAGACCAAUAAAAUCAGCAACCCUCUAGUAAGAAUAACGAAAGGAGAAGAUACAAUUGCCAAUAUCAAAAAUGAAAAAAGAGGUUGGGUGUGGUGGCUCAUGCCUGAAAUCACUGCACUUUGGGAGGCCAAGGCGGGUGGAUCAACUCAGGAAUUCAAGACCAGCAUGGCCAACGUUGUGAAACCCGGUCUCUAUUAAAAAUACAAAAACUUUGCUGGGCAUGGUGGCGGGUGCCUGUAGUCCCAGCUACUUGGGAGGCUGAAACACGAGAAUUGCUCGAGCCGAGACUGCAGCACUGCACUCCAGCCUGGGCAACACCACAGGAUUCUGUCUCGAAACGAAAAAGAGAUGUCAUUACAGACCCUGCAAUCUGAAAAGGAUAAUAAGUGACUACGACAAACAUCUACAUACAUAAAUUUUAUAACUUGGACGAAAUAGACCAAUUUCUCAAAAAACACAAACUACCACAACUCACCUGGUAUGAAAUAAUAAUUUAAAUAGCCCUAUAACUAGAAAUUGAAUUUGUAAUUUUAAACUCCAAAAAGAAAUAUCCAGGCUCAGAUGGUUUCACUGGAGAAUUCUAAGAUUAAUUUCCCAGAAAAUUGAAGGAAAAGCAUCAAUUUAUGUUUUAUUUAUUUAUUUUUUGAGACAGGUUCUCACUCUGUCACCCAGGCUGGAGUGCAAUGGCACAAACAUGGCUCACUGCAGCCUCGACCUCCUGAGCUCAAAUUAUCCUCCCGCCUCAGCCUCCCAGGUAGCUGGGACCACAGGCCCACACCACCACGCCUCACUAAUUUUUUUAGUUUUUGUAGAGACAGGAUCUUGCCAUGGUGCCCUGGCUGGUCCCAAACUCCUGGGCUCAGGCAGUCCUCCCACCUCAGCCUCCCAAAGUGCUGGGAUUACAAGCAUGAGCCACUGUACCCAGCCUCAAUUUAUUUUAUGAAGCUAGUGGUUCUCUGAUACCAAAACCACACAAAGAUAAUACAAGAAAAUAAUAUUACAAGCCAAUAUCCCUCAGUGAUAUAGACACAAAAUUUUUUAACAAAAUAUUACUAAAUAGACUGGGCACAGUGGCUCACACUUGUAAUCCCAACACUUUGGGAGGCCGAGGCGAGCAGAUCACCUGAGGUCAGGAGUUCAAGACCAGCCUGGCCAACAUGGUGAAACCCCGUCUUUGCUAAAAAUACAAAAAUUAGCCAGGCAUGGUGGUGGGUGCCUAUAAUCCCAGCUACUCAGCAGGUGGAGGUUGCAGUAAGCAGAGAUGGUGCCACUGCACUCCAGCCUCGGCAACAGAGUGAGACUCUGCCUCAAAAAAAAAAAAUUACUAAAUAGAAUUUGGCAAUAUAUAACAAAGAAUUCUACACCAUGACCAAGUAGGGAUUAUUCCAGGGAUGAAGGUUGGUUCCGUAUUUGAGAAUCAGUUGAUGAGAUCCACACGUUACCAGCUACCGAAGAUAACUCACACGAUCACAUCUGUCAGUGUGGGGAAGGCCCUUGACAAGUUUAACAUCUAUUCAUGAUUUAAACUUGGAAAAACAGAGAAGGAGAGGAACUUUCUCCGCUGGAUAAAGAGCAUCUGUACAAGCCCUGCAGCCAGCAUUCUCCUCGAGGGGAAGGAAUCACCCUUCACCAUUCAGAUCCGGAACAAGAAAGGACGCCUGCUCUAACCAUCGGAUCCGGCAUGGUGCUGGAAGCACUGGGCACUGCAGUACGCAGCACAAGGAAAGAAAAGGCAUGUCGAUCACAAAGGAAGAAACGAAACUGCCUGUUUACAGAUGAUGUCGUUGUCUUUGUAGGAAAUCCCAAGGCAUCCACCAAAAACACUCCUAGAAUUAUGAAGCGAGGCCGGGCGCAGCGGCUCACACCUGCAAUCCCAGCACUGUGGGAGGCCAAGGCAGGCCAAUCACCUGAGGUUGGGAGUUCAAGAUCAGCCUGACUAACAUAGAGAAACCCCGUCUCUACUAAAAAAAAAAUUCAAAUUAGCCAGCCGUGGUGACGCAUGCCUGUAAUCCCAGCUACUCAGGAGGCUGAGGUAGGAGAAUUGCUUGAACCGGGGAGGCAGAGGUUACAGUGAGCUGAGAUUGCAUCACUGCACUCCAGCCUGGGCGACAGAGUGAAACUCCAUCUCAAAAGAAAAAAUAAGUGAGUUCAGCAAAGUCAGAAGACACAAGAUCAACCUAAAUGAUUCAAUAGUAUUCCUGUACGCUAGCAAUGAACACACAGACACCUAAAUUACAUACGCAGAACCACUUAAAACCACUCCAAAAAGCGAAAUACUUAGGUAUAAACCUGACAAAACAUGCACAGAACUUACAUGCUGAAAACUCAGCAGUGCUGCUGAAAGACGUCAGCACACACCUAGAGACACGGCCGCGUUCGUGGGUUACAAGACACAACAACGUGGAGAUGACAGGUCCUUCCAGAUUGAUGGACAGGUUUAAUGCAAUUCCUAUUUUAAAAAACCCAGCAAGAUGUGUUAAUGGGUAAGGACAAGUCAUCCCAAGUUUUCUAUGGAAAUGUAAAGGAGCGAAAAUAGCUAAAACUAUUUUGAAAGAGAACAAGGUGGAACGAAUCAAUCUACCCAGUUUCAAGACAUAGAACUACAGCAGUCAACACAGUGUGGUAUUGACAGAGGGACAGACAUGCAAUUCCAUGGAACACAACAGAGAACCCACAAAUACACCCAAACAAACAUGCCCGGAUGAGUUUUUUUU